rnacentral:rRNA from 1 species
UACGAGGGGGGCAAGCGUUGUUCGGAAUUAUUGGGCGUAAAGAGCUCGUAGGCGGUCUGUUGCGUCGGCUGUGAAAACCCGGGGCUCAACCCCGGGCCUGCAGCCGAUACGGGCAGACUAGAGUUCGGCAGGGGAGACUGGAAUUCCUGGUGUAGCGGUGAAAUGCGCAGAUAUCAGGAGGAACACCGGUGGCGAAGGCGGGUCUCUGGGCCGAUACUGACGCUGAGGAGCGAAAGCGUGGGGAGCGAACAGG